rnacentral:rRNA from 1 species
UACGGAGGGUGCAAGCGUUAUCCGGAUUCACUGGGUUUAAAGGGUGCGUAGGAGGGCAGGUAAGUCAGUGGUGAAAUCCCCGAGCUUAACUUGGAAACUGCCGUUGAUACUAUCUGUCUUGAAUAUUGUGGAGGUGAGCGGAAUAUGUCAUGUAGCGGUGAAAUGCUUAGAUAUGACAUAGAACACCAAUUGCGAAGGCAGCUCACUACUCAAUCAUUGACUCUGAGGCACGAAAGCGUGGGGAUCAAACAGG